rnacentral:lncRNA from 1 species
UGGCGCCGUGGGAAAGCGCGCUGGUUUCUGCCAAAUGCAGUUAGCUUUGCUUCGCUUCCCUAAGUGCGUUCCCCCAGGGGCCCGGCAGUGUGCUAGGGGCACCCUGCUUCGUAAGUGAGGCAGACAGCCCGUGAUAAAUGCCAAAGUAGAAGCCCCUCCGAAAAAUUAAGGAGCCGAUUGGGCGGGACUAACCCUAAGGGAGGGCAGGGGAAGCGACCGUCACCUCCGGGCGCCGGGGACUCGGAACGCCGGGUCGGAGCUCGGCAGGCGGAGAAAUGUAAGCUCCAUGAGGUCAUGGAUUGUGUAUUUUGUUCACUGCUGUAUUCCCUGAGCCUGGAACAGUGCCUGACACAUAGUAGAUGCGCAGUAAAUAUUUGGUGAAUGAAUGAACAAACGCUAAUACAUCAAAGAGACAACAUCAAAGAACAGACUCCACAGGGCAGUUUACAUCUUCAUUGUUUGGCCCGACCCUUCUUGUUUGAGGGUGGAUUUUCAAAAUUACUGCUGAAGGCAAUUGGGAGCCUUGAAAGCUUUUAAAGGAGACGGGGUCUCACCACAUUGUCCAGGCUGAUCUCGAACUCCUGACUUCAAGCGAUCUCACCUCGGCCUCCCAAAGUGCUGGGAUUACAGGCAUAAGCCACCGUGCCUGGCCAAUUAUAGUCUCGCUCUUGUCGCCUAGGCUGGAGUGCAGUGGCACGAUCUCGGCUCACUGUAACCUCCGCCUCCCAGGUUCAAGCAGUUCUCCUGCCUCAGCCUCUGGAGUAGCUGGGAUUACAGACACCUACCACCAUGCCCGCUAAUUUUUGUAUUUUUAGUAGAGACGGGGUUUCGCCAUGUUGGCCAGGCUGGUCUCCAACUCCUGACCUCAGGUGAUCUGCCCGCCUCAGCCUCCCAAAGUGCUGGGAUUACAGGCAUGAGCCACCACGCCUGGUCAGCAAACUUUUUCUGAUAGUAAAUAUUUUAGGCUUUGCAGAUGACAUACAGUGUCUGUUGCGACUACUCAACUCUGCUGUUGCAGGAUGAAAGCUGCAGGACAAUAUGUAAAUGAACGGUGUGGCUGGGUUCCAAGAAAACUUUAGUUACAGAUACUAAAAUUUAAAUUCAAUAGAAUUGUCAUGUGUCCCAAAAUAUUCUUUUGAUUUUUUUCAACCAUUCAAAAAUACAGAAACCAUUCUUAGCUCUCAGGCUGUACAAAAACACGCAGUGGCCAGGUUUGGUCCAUAGGCUGUAAUUUGCUGAGCCUAGGCCUAGAUAAUUAUGUCAAGACUCUCCUCUCCCUCCUCAAACCUGCAACCCUUCUUCCUCCAUUCUCACACUCAGUUGAGGACCUGGCUUCCUAGUCACUGAGAAAAUUUAAGCAAUCACAAGAGAACUCCCACAGCCCAUCCACACAUGCUAUCUGCCAACACCUCCACGUGACUAUUCCCCCAUCCCUCUGUUACUGUGAAUGAAACGUUUGAACUAUGUCCGGCCUGUCUGCUCGCUUGUGCCCUAGAUCCAAACCUCUCUCGCCCAUUCAACAACCCUGCUCUGACUAGUCUUCCCUUUCUGUCCUUGCUGUUCACUGCAUUAUUCCCAUCAACAUACAAAUAAAUAUGCUGUCAUCUUAAAAAAGCUGCUUUUUACUCCAACUCCCUUGCCAGCUACUUCUUCUUCUCCUUCCCUUUACAACAAAACCCUGGUAAAGAUUUGUCUUCAUUCACUGUUUCCAACUUCUCUCCCAUUCUUUAAGUGAGAUACAAUUCACGUAAUAUGAAAAUCACCGUUUUUUUAUUUUAUUUUAUUUUUGAGACAGAGUCUUGCUCUGUCAGGCUGGAGUGCAAUGGCGUGAUCUCAGCUCACUGCAACCUCGGCCUCCCGAGUUCAAGCGAUUCUCCUGCCCCAACCUCCCAAGUAGCUGGGAUUACAGGCAUGCACCACCACACCCAG